UUCCGUGGGUAUUAGUGUUCAGUCCAUUCCCAUUCCUGCUCUGGCUGCGCGGGAACUCCUCCGGGCCAGCCAGGCGGAAGGGGCGGGGCUCACGGCGGAAGUCCCCCGCCCGCUCAGGUCACGCGGGAGGGCUUGAGCGCGCACCUAGGAAGCAUGGCACUCUGGCGGGCAUACCAGCGGGCCCUUACUGCUCACCCGUGGAAAGUACAGGUCCUGACAGCUGGGUCCCUGAUGGGCCUGGGUGACGUCAUUUCACAGCAGCUAGUGGAGAGGCGAGGUCUGCGGGAACACCAGGCUGGCCGGACCUUGACCAUGGUCUGUCUGGGAUGUGGCUUUGUGGGCCCUGUGGUAGGAGGCUGGUACAGGGUUUUAGACCGUCUCGUCCCUGGCACCGCCAAGGUGGAUGCACUAAAGAAGAUGUUGUUGGAUCAGGGGGGCUUUGCCCCAUGUUUUCUAGGCUGUUUCCUCCCACUGGUAGGGACACUCAAUGGACUGUCAGCCCAGGACAACUGGGCCAAACUCCGGCGGGAUUAUCCUGAUGCCCUCGUCACCAACUACUAUAAGUUGGAGGAGGACCAGGCAAGGCAGUGAGUCUGGGGUCAGGUGAUGGAGGCAGCCCCCCAACAUUUACCUUCUCUCUCGUAGCUCUGGCCUGCUGUGCAGCUAGCCAACUUCUACCUGGUCCCCCUUCAUUACAGGUUGGCUGUUGUCCAGUGUGUUGCUGUUGUCUGGAACUCCUACCUGUCCUGGAAGGCACACCAGCUGUAAGCCUGCCUCACUCCAUUGCUUCCGCCUUGCAGUGACGCAGCUUGACCCUGGAAUGGUCGGCCGACCUCCUCCUCAAAGUGGGCACAUUGCUUUCACGGGGUUGGGUUGCUGGUCAGAAUGUAGCGGGAUUAGCACUAUGAAACGGCCCAUGUCACUCUAAAAUGUAAACUGACUCCUUUUGAAUUUACUAAAACUUGUAUAAUGGUCUUAUGCCCACCGCAUAGUAGGCACCCCAUAAAUAUUUAUUCAGCCAUAUGAUCUUGUCAACAUUACUUUAUACCCAUAUCCCAGCCAGUGCACUCAUCCCCGCUUUUCAUAAAUACAUCUAUUUCCCUAACCCUCUCCAGCCCUAGUGUAGCUCCAGUUCCUUGGGGACCCCCUCAAACCCUUUAUGUGUUACCUUUGUAAAUAUGUUAUAAAUGUGUAAUCUGGAACCUGCAGUAAGACCCAACAGAAAAAUACUAGGGAGUCAAAAUUUCUAGGGAAUGGAAAGAAGCCUAGAGACCACCAAGCCCAAACUUCUUUUACAGACGAGGACACUGAGGUCCCUAGAAGUAAGGUGACCUGUCCACACCAUGAGUUAGUGGCAAAGUAGAAACUUGAACCCACAUGCUAUAAAUCAAAUGUUUAAAUACCCCCCCCCAAAUUCAUAUGGCGAAGAAC